GAUGAACGCUGGCGGCGCGCCUAACACAUGCAAGUCGAACGGUUAAAGCACCUUUUAGGUGUGUAUAAAGUGGCGAACGGCUGAGUAACACGUGGGCAACCUGCCCUCCUCUUGGGGAUAGCCUCGGGAAACCGAGGAUAAUACCCGAUACUUCAAUGUGGCCGCAUGACGACAUUGAGAAAGCUUUUGCGGAGAAGGAUGGGCUCGCGGCCUAUCAGCUUGUUGGUGGGGUGAUGGCCUACCAAGGCUUUGACGGGUAGCCGGCCUGAGAGGGUGACCGGUCACAUUGGGACUGAGAUACGGCCCAGACUCCUACGGGAGGCAGCAGUGGGGAAUAUUGCACAAUGGGCGCAAGCCUGAUGCAGCGACGCCGCGUGAGGGAUGGAGGCCUUCGGGUUGUAAACCUCUUUCGCUCAUGGUCAAGCCGCAACAGUGGUUGUGGUGAGGGUAGUGGGUAAAGAAGCGCCGGCUAACUACGUGCCAGCAGCCGCGGUAGUACGUAGGGCGCGAGCGUUGUCCGGAAUUAUUGGGCGUAAAGGGCUUGUAGGCGGUUGGUCGCGUCUGCCGUGAAAUCCUCUGGCUUAACUGGGGGCGUGCGGUGGGUACGGGCUGACUUGAGUGCGGUAGGGGAGACUGGAACUCCUGGUGUAGCGGUGGAAUGCGCAGAUAUCAGGAAGAACACCGGUGGCGAAGGCGGGUCUCUGGGCCGUUACUGACGCUGAGGAGCGAAAGCGUGGGGAGCGAACAGG
rnacentral:rRNA from 1 species